rnacentral:rRNA from 1 species
UUUUAUGGAGAGUUUGAUCCUGGCUCAGGACGAACGCUGGCGGCGUGCCUAAUACAUGCAAGUCGAGCGAACAGAGAAGGAGCUUGCUCCUUUGACGUUAGCGGCGGACGGGUGAGUAACACGUGGGCAACCUACCUUAUAGUUUGGGAUAACUCCGGGAAACCGGGGCUAAUACCGAAUAAUCUAUU